AAUGUACUUCAUCAUUUUCUCAAACCAACUUUCUAGAUAUUAAUGAAUGUACAGAAGGAAUGGACAAUUGCCACAACAACUCUAAUUGUAGUAAUUCUGAAGGUUCAUUCAGUUGCAAUUGUAUUCAUGGCUACAUAUACACAGGAAACGCGACUGGUUGUCGAGGUUAGUUGAAAUACUCCACUGUUCGUUUAUUUCAUAUUAAUCUCCGACCACAUUUCAAGCGUCAUACGUAUACCAAUGUUCGAUUUCCCCUUAAUUGGUGUUGAUUUCAAUAACAU